rnacentral:tRNA from 1 species
GCGCCCAUCGUCUAGCGGUCAGGACGGCGCCCUCUCACGGCGCAAACAGGGGGGGUUCGAUUCCCCUUGGGCGUACCA